rnacentral:rRNA from 1 species
CAGCCGCCGCGGGAAUACGAAGGGGGCUAGCGUUGCUCGGAAUCACUGGGCGUAAAGGGUGCGUAGGCGGGUUUUUAAGUCAGAGGUGAAAUCCUGGAGCUCAACUCCAGAACUGCCUUUGAUACUGAAAGUCUUGAGUAUGGGAGAGGUGAGUGGAACUGCGAGUGUAGAGGUGAAAUUCGUAGAUAUUCGCAAGAACACCAGUGGCGAAGGCGGCUCACUGGCCCAUAACUGACGCUGAGGCACGAAAGCGUGGGGAGCAAACAGGAUUAGAUACCCCGGUAGUCCCUGUCUCUUAUAC